GUCCCCAGUAUGGACCUCCUCCUCCAGGUGUUUGCGUAAGACCAGGUGAUCCCAUCUUUAUACGGGGGAUAAAAUGUGACGGACCACAUGUAGCUAUUCCCUGUAAACCAGGUCCUUGUCCCCAGUAUGGACCUCCUGGACCAGGUGUUUGCACGAGACCAGGUGAUCCCAUCAUUGUUCGCGGAGUUACAUGUAACGGACCACCUGUAGAAAUUCCUUGUAAACCAGUUCAAAAACCUGGAAAAUGUCCAUUUGUCAACCUACCUGCUUUGUCUUGCCCUGGUGGUCCAUUACCUAGAAAAUGUAGUAAUGACAGAGGUUGUCCUGGAUAUAAGAAAUGUUGCAGGAGUGGAUGUGAAUUCCGAUGUAGAAAUCCAGCUUCGCCUAAUAACAAAGAUGAAUGCCCAUAUGUGAACCUUGCUGCUGUAUCAUGUCCAGUGCAGGAACUGAGAAGUGAUAAAUGUAGUGGUGAAGGAAGUUGUCUUGGAGAACAAAAGUGCUGUAACAACGGGUGUAACAAGGAAUGCACAGAUCCAGGAAAUCCUUGUCCACCAGAACCCCGAUGUCCACCA